rnacentral:rRNA from 1 species
UACGUAGGGUGCAAGCGUUGUCCGGAUUUAUUGGGCGUAAAGAGCUCGUAGGCGGUUUGUCACGUCUGCUGUGAAAACUCAAGGCUUAACCUUGGGCCUGCAGUGGGUACGGGCAGACUAGAGUGCGGUAGGGGAGACUGGAAUUCUUGGUGUAGCGGUGAAAUGCGCAGAUAUCAGGAGGAACACCGGUGGCGAAGGCGGGUCUCUGGGCCGUAACUGACGCUGAGGAGCGAAAGCGUGGGGAGCGAACAGG